rfam:Nitrosospira sp. Nsp11 genome assembly, contig: Ga0111721_102
GUGAGGGUGACUAAGCGUAGGGAGGAAGGGUGAAGCGAAGCUGCGAUCCGAUGAAAAAGAACCGGAUGGAAGACGCAACCGCCCCAGGCGAACGGGCAUGAACCGCGCAUCCCCGACGCUGGAGUGAUCCGGCUGAUCCGGGCGUAUCUGAACAGCCGCAUCA